CAGUGUCUCUACAAUUUUAAGAAGUUUUUUAAGCGGGUCUGCUGCUGUUCAAUUGGAAAAUUAAAAGUUUGCACGGUACUGUGAAAUCACAAGAAGUGAGUUUGUGGCUGAUCCGAAUGUCUGUGGACCUUUACGCACCCCAGAGACGUAUGACGCAGCUGUUGCUGAUCUCCAGGCUGAAAACAUCCAAGGUGUCAGAGGGAUAAAGGUGCCAUUUUCUCUUUAGUGCAAAUAUGACUGACUCAGAGCGAACCUUCCUAGAUGUCGCCAUCAUGGAAGUCCUACCACAACUUCAAGCAGUAAACAAAAACAUCCUGGAAGAGCACUUGCAGUCCAUUGGA